ACGGGGGCAGCAGGCGCGACAACUUUGCAAUGCGGGAAACCGUGACAAGGGAACUCCGAGUGCCCGUAAAUUCGGGCUGUCCGCCAGUGUAAAAAACUGGUGAAGAAAGGGCCGGGCAAGACCGGUGCCAGCCGCCGCGGUAAUACCGGCGGCUCGAGUGGUGGCCACUAUUACUGGGCUUAAAGCGUUCGUAGCUGGUCUGUUAAGUCUCUGGGGAAAUCUUCCGGCUUAACCGGAAGGCGUCCCAGGGAUACUGGCAGACUAGGGACCGGAAGAGGUGAGGGGUACUCCAGGGGUAGGAGUGAAAUCCUGUAAUCCUUGGGGGACCACCUGUGGCGAAGGCGCCUCACCAGAACGGCUCCGACAGUGAGGAACGAAAGCUGGGGGAGCAAACCGGAUUAGAUACCCGGGUAGUCCCAGCUGUAAACGAUGCGCGUUAGGUGUAUCGGUGACCACGAGUCACCGAGGUGCCGAAGAGAAAUCGUGAAACGUGCCGCCUGGGAAGUACGGUCGCAAGGCUGAAACUUAAAGGAAUUGGCGGGGGAGCAC
rnacentral:rRNA from 1 species